rnacentral:rRNA from 1 species
UUUGAAAUCUGGCUCUCGGGCCCGAGUUGUAAUUUGUAGAGGAUGCUUUUGGUGAGGUGCCUUCCGAGUUCCCUGGAACGGGACGCCAUAGAGGGUGAGAGCCCCGUCUGGUUGGACACCGAUCCUCUGUAAAGCUCCUUCGACGAGUCGAGUAGUUUGGGAAUGCUGCUCUAAAUGGGAGGUAUAUGUCUUCUAAAGCUAAAUACCGGCCAGAGACCGAUAGCGCACAAGUAGAGUGAUCGAAAGAUGAAAAGAACUUUGAAAAGAGAGUUAAACMGUACGUGAAAUUGUUGAAAGGGAAGCGCUUGUGACCARACKUGGGCUUGGUUGAUCAUCCGGGGUUCUCCCCGGUGCACUCUUCCGGCCCAGGCCAGCAUCAGUUCGCCCUGGGGGACAAAGGCUUCGGGAAUGUGGCUCUCUCCGGGGAGUGUUAU